AGCGAACGCUGGCGGCAGGCCUAACACAUGCAAGUCGAACGAAGUCUUCGGACUUAGUGGCGGACGGGUGAGUAACACGUGGGAGCGUGCCUUUAGGUUCGGAAUAACUCAGGGAAACUUGUGCUAAUACCGAAUGUGCCCUUCGGGGGAAAGAUUUAUCGCCUUUAGAGCGGCCCGCGUCUGAUUAGCUAGUUGGUGAGGUAAAGGCUCACCAAGGCGACGAUCAGUAGCUGGUCUGAGAAGAUGAUCAGCCACAUUGGGACUGAGACACGGCCCAAACUCCUACGGGAGGCAGCAGUGGGGAAUCUUGCGCAAUGGGCGAAAGCCUGACGCAGCCAUGCCGCGUGAAUGAUGAAGGUCUUAGGAUUGUAAAAUUCUUUCACCGGGGACGAUAAUGACUGUAGCCGGAGAAGAAGCCCCGGCUAACUUCGUGCCAGCAGCCGCCGUAAUAC
rnacentral:rRNA from 1 species